rnacentral:rRNA from 1 species
UACGUAGGGGGCAAGCGUUGUCCGGAAUCAUUGGGCGUAAAGAGCGUGUAGGCGGUUCGGUAAGUCCGCUGUAAAAGUCCAGGGCUCAACCCUGGAAAGCCGGUGGAAACUGUCGAACUAGAGUCCGGAAGAGGCGAGUGGAAUUCCUGGUGUAGCGGUGAAAUGCGCAGAUAUCAGGAGGAACACCAAUGGCGAAGGCAGCUCGCUGGGACGGUACUGACGCUCAUGCACGAAAGCGUGGGGAGCAAACAGG